GCCUGGUGUGGUGGAGUGUGCCUGUAUUCCCAGCUACUUGGGAGGCUGAGGCGGGAGGAUCACUUGAGCCCAGGAGGUCUGGGCUGUAGUGUGCUCUGCCAAUCAGUUGUCUGCACUAAGUUUAGCAUCAACUUCCUGGGAGUGAGGGACCAUUUCAGGUUGGAGACUGAGCAGGUCAAAACUCCUGUGCUGAUGAGUAGUGGCAUUGCGCCUGUGAAUAGCCACUGCACUUCAGCCUGGGCAACAUAGUGAGACCCUGUCUCA
ensembl:misc_RNA Metazoa_SRP Metazoan signal recognition particle RNA